rnacentral:rRNA from 1 species
GGACGAACGCUGGCGGCGUGCUUAACACAUGCAAGUCGAACGAUGAUGCCCAGCUUGCUGGGUGGAUUAGUGGCGAACGGGUGAGUAACACGUGAGUAACCUGCCCCUGACUCUGGGAUAAGCGUUGGAAACGACGUCUAAUACUGGAUAUGAUUACCGGCCGCAUGGUCUGGUGGUGGAAAGAUUUUUUGGUUGGGGAUGGACUCGCGGCCUAUCAGCUUGUUGGUGAGGUAAUGGCUCACCAAGGCGACGACGGGUAGCCGGCCUGAGAGGGUGACCGGCCACACUGGGACUGAGACACGGCCCAGACUCCUACGGGAGGCAGCAGUGGGGAAUAUUGCACAAUGGGCGAAAGCCUGAUGCAGCAACGCCGCGUGAGGGAUGACGGCCUUCGGGUUGUAAACCUCUUUUAGUAGGGAAGAAGCGAAAGUGACGGUACCUGCAGAAAAAGCACCGGCUAACUACGUGCCAGCAGCCGCGGUAAUACGUAGGGUGCAAGCGUUGUCCGGAAUUAUUGGGCGUAAAGAGCUCGUAGGCGGUUUGUCGCGUCUGCUGUGAAAUCCCGAGGCUCAACCUCGGGCUUGCAGUGGGUACGGGCAGACUAGAGUGCGGUAGGGGAGAUUGGAAUUCCUGGUGUAGCGGUGGAAUGCGCAGAUAUCAGGAGGAACACCGAUGGCGAAGGCAGAUCUCUGGGCCGUAACUGACGCUGAGGAGCGAAAGCGUGGGGAGCGAACAGGAUUAGAUACCCUGGUAGUCCACGCCGUAAACGUUGGGCGCUAGAUGUAGGGACCUUUCCACGGUUUCUGUGUCGUAGCUAACGCA